rnacentral:rRNA from 1 species
UGGGGAAUAUUGCACAAUGGGCGCAAGCCUGAUGCAGCCACGCCGCGUGUAUGAAGAAGGCCUUCGGGUUGUAAAGUACUUUCAGUCGGGAGGAAGGUGGUAAGGUUAAUAACCUUAUCAAUUGACGUUACCGACAGAAGAAGCACCGGCUAACUCCGUGCCAGCAGCCGCGGUAAUACGGAGGGUGCAAGCGUUAAUCGGAAUUACUGGGCGUAAAGCGCACGCAGGCGGUUGAUUGAGUCAGAUGUGAAAUCCCCGGGCUUAACCCGGGAAUUGCAUCUGAUACUGGUCAGCUAGAGUCUUGUAGAGGGGGGUAGAAUUCCAUGUGUAGCGGUGAAAUGCGUAGAGAUGUGGAGGAAUACCGGUGGCGAAGGCGGCCCCCUGGACAAAGACUGACGCUCAGGUGCGAAAGCGUGGGGAGCAAACAGG